CGAACUGACAAAACUAUUUACGAAAAUAAGGUGUAAUAUUUCGUUAAAUGCAUUUGGAGUUUCGUUGAAACGAAAAUCCCGCCAUAAUGUUGUUGAAGAUACGGAAUAUUUGUGGGAAUUAUGAUAUAUGUAGAUUGAGAAGUUACAGGACUAGCAUGUGGUACAUUAGCAGCCAUUGACGACGAAGGACAGAAAAAAUCUGUGGACUUCAUCACUCAUCCUAAAGAGAAACACGAUCAACAAAAACCAGCCUACAUUACUAGAUAUGGACCCAAAGGAUUUGUUGUACACGGCUCUAGGGUGUUGGGCUCUUUAGCAAUUUUACCUGGUUUCUUUUUGAACUGGAAGGUUUGUGUCAUCGAAAAUUUCAUGUCAACUGGUCUUGAAACAUGAUUUAUAUUAGCCACAAUGACAUAAGGCAUCUCAUGACUGUAAGAUUAUUGUCAGAUUAUUGAUUAUUAAAGUUAAUGAAUCUUUA